rnacentral:lncRNA from 1 species
GAAACGGCAAUGGAACGCCAAACCACAGCUGAACAGGAUACUAUGUAACAAAGCAACCCUACCUCAGAGGAGUUGGUCUGCAAGGAAGAGGCAAGGGUGGUGGUCUCCUGUAUUCCAUACUUGUUUCCAGAAAAUCCAGAGUUUUCAACAUGCAAACAAAGGAAUUCCAGAAUGAAAUGUGUUUCACAGUUGAACAGAAAAAUCAUCUGUAUGAAGAGAAGAAAUAGCUAGAGUUAAACCUCGGGAUCACAAUUUUGAACAAAUUUUGACUGAUUAUGAAAAUUGAUGAGAUCGUUCUGUGGUCUUUUCUAUGGAUGACAUGUUCAGUGAGUGUAUUUCUUCUAAAGUUUGCCAACAAUUGAA